rnacentral:rRNA from 1 species
UACGAAGGGGGCUAGCGUUGCUCGGAAUCACUGGGCGUAAAGGGUGCGUAGGCGGGUUAUUAAGUCAGAGGUGAAAUCCUCGGAGCUCAACUCCAGAACUGCCUUUGAUACUGAUUAGUCUUGAGUAUGGGGAGAGGGUGAGUGGAAACUGCGAGUGUAGAGGGUGAAAAUUCGUAGAUAUUCGCAAAGAACACCAAGUGGCGGAG